UGGGGAAUAUUGGACAAUGGGCGCAAGCCUGAUCCAGCCAUGCCGCGUGUGUGAAGAAGGCCUUCGGGUUGUAAAGCACUUUCAGCGAGGAGGAAGGGUGGUGUGUUAAUAGCACAUCAUUUUGACGUUACUCGCAGAAGAAGCACCGGCUAACUCUGUGCCAGCAGCCGCGGUAAUACAGAGGGUGCAAGCGUUAAUCGGAAUUACUGGGCGUAAAGCGCACGUAGGCGGUUUUUUAAGUCAGAUGUGAAAGCCCCGGGCUCAACCUGGGAAUUGCAUUUGAAACUGGGAAACUAGAGUGUGUGAGAGGGGGGUAGAAUUCCAAGUGUAGCGGUGAAAGUGCGUAGAGAUUUGGAGGAAUACCAGUGGCGAAGGCGGCCCCCUGGCACAACACUGACGCUCAGGUGCGAAAGCGUGGGGAGCAAACAGGAUUAGAUGACCCUGGUAGUCCCACGCGUAAACGAUGUCUACUGCUGUUCGUGACUUGUGUUGUGAGUAGCGCAGCUAACGCACUAAGUAGACCGCCUGGGGAGUACGGUCGCAAGAUU
rnacentral:rRNA from 1 species